UAGAAAGGUGCGAAGGUUGAGCAUGGUUGACCAUGGUUAGACAUUCCAGCACGACCACUCAAGCGCUCUCAUCCUUCAGUCAUAACAGGUUCUCUCUCUUCUGUGGAAGAUUUCAGAUUUUCUAGGCAAAUUUCUUGUAAUUGGUGAUGACUGAUGAUGGUGGCAGAUUUUUCCUAACUUAUAUUUUAACAUGUACAUGGCAGGUUAUUUAUAAUCCCUGUAGCUAGCUCAGCUUGUCCUCGACAUAAAUGGGUAUGACCUCAUCUUUUGUUAUAACUGAACUUGUUUUCACUUUAUCUUUCUUCUUUUAAUGAUUAGAAUUUUUUAUUGUAGAGGCUCCAGAGGAUAAUAGUAUCGUGCAUAAGGUCGAUAAAGAAUUUGAAUUUAGAAUUGGCAUGAAAUUUGCUAAUGAGGACGAAUCAUAUAAUACAUACAAUGCAUAUGCAAUUUGCAAGGGAUUUGGAGUACGAAAAGGACAAAAAGCAUACAAUAGUAAAGGAAUGUUGCGUAGAUGCACAUUUCUUUGUAAUUGUGAAGGACACUCUCCACCAAUCCCACUUCAUGAACAAAGAGAUGUUUAUAGAACAGUGAAGAGAACCGGAUGUCAAGCUUGCAUUAAAUUCAAAAUUGAAGAUGGAGAUUGGAUAGUUACCGAGUUUAAGAAUUCUCACAAUCAUCCUUUCAUUGAUGAUAGACAAAAGCACUUGAUACGGUCAUAUCGACACAUUACAAAUACUAGUAAAAGUAUUUUGACUUCUAUGGCCGGGGCGGGUAUAAGGGCUACAAAAGCAUAUUCCUACCUAAGUGGUGAAGCAGGAGGACCAGAUAAUGUUGGGUUUACUUUACGUGAUUGCCAAAACUUUUUACAAUCAAAGAGAAGGAACCUGAUUAGUACAGGUGAUUGUCAAAGUCUCAUUAACCAUUUUAAUUGCUUACAAUCAAAUGGAAGCAAUUUCUCUUAUACAUUUCAGAUGGAUAAUGAACAGAGACUGACCAAUUUUUUUUGGUCUGAUGGUGUAUCCAAGUUGGAUUAUGACAGUUUUGGAGAUGUGGUGGUAUUUGAUACCACUUACCAUACGAAUAAGUACAAUAUGAUAUGUGCACCUUUUGUUGGCUUGAAUCAUCAUUGGAAGAAUGUUCUCUUUGGUUGUGCAUUUCUAUUGGAUGAAACUAUUGGUUCAUUUGUUUGGGCAUUUCAAUCCUUUUUGAAGGUAAUGGGCGAUAAAGCACUGAAGACUAUUUUCACUGAUCAAGAUCAUGCCAUGGCAAAUGCCAUUAAAACUGUUUUUCCGAAUACUAAUCAUCAUUUGUGUAUAUGGCAUAUUGGGAAAAAUGCUACGCAUCAUACUGCACAUCUUCUUGGAAAGACAGAUUUUCGCGAUAAAUAUUGGCAAAAGCUUCUAUAUCGUUGCGAAUCUGAAUUUGAAAUGGAGAACACUUGGAAAGCUAUGUGUGAAGAAUGGAGCUUGGGAGAUAACAAGUGGUUGGAUGGUAUAUAUCGCUUGCGGCAUAAGUGGUGUCCUGCAUUUGGGCGUGAUAUUUUUUCCGCAGGAAUUAGAUCUACGCAAAGAAGUGAGAGCACAAGUAAUGUUUUUCAAGAUAUGGCAUGUAAGACUAUGACUUUGUCUGAAUUUGUCAAUCAUUAUGAAAAGCAAGCGGAAAAAAUGCGCAACACUGAAGUUAUUGAUGAUUUUGACUGUGCUCGAGGAAAGCCACGUAUUAUGGUUGAGAAUAGUGGAAUUUUGAAACAUGCUGCAAAUGUAUACACUCAUAUCAUAUAUAGGAAUUUCUAGGCUGAGUUCUUGCAUGCUUUGUCUGAACAUGUUCUUGGAUCAUAUGUUGAUGGGCCAUUGCAUACUUAUAUCUUGGGAACUGAAAGUAGUGAAAGGAAGCAUAUUGUCCAUUUUAGUUCGAGCGAUUCUACCGUCACAUGUAGUUGCAAGUUAUUUGAAAUGCAAGGAUGGUUGUGUAGGCAUAUUUUGUGCAUCUUGACUCAUGUUGUGAAUGUUACAAGUAUUCCAUCACAAUACAUUAUGAAGAGGUGGACAAAAGCUGCAAAGCAAGGGACUCCUUGUGAUGAGAUCGGACAAAGCUCUCAGGAUGCAGUUCAAUCAAAGACGUUGUGUUUGAAGAGGUUGAUGCGGUUGGCUUUCAAUGUUAUGAACUUUAGCGCGAAUCAUGAUGUUACUGAGGAGCUUGCAACUACAACUUUGUUGCGUCUUCGCUCCCAAAUUACAAAGAAAAUGAAAUGUUUAACAGAUAAUGAUCAUGUUGAUUUCUUGGUGGAAAGUGAUGAAUCUGAAGAUGCAGAAAAUUCUGGAAUUCGAGUAUGUGAUCCCCUUCGGAGAAGACCAAAAGGUGUACCAAAUACUAGAUUGAAGAGCAUCGGGGAGAAGCGAAAGAGAAAAGCCUCUUCAUGUGCACGAGUCACCUUACACAAGGAUUGAUCUUCAGUAAAAGUCUGCGAUCAUUGGAGAUUGAUCUUCCUUCGGCAAGCAAGUUCAAUGUGGAAGCAAUUUGUGUAUCUAAUCUCCAAGGAUUUAUUUUUGUUAGGCUGAGUUUUUGGUUGUUAACAGAUUAGUAGUUGUUUUGUUUUUAGAUUCUAUUUACAAGAGUCCCUUUUUGGCGAUUAAGUUACUGAUUGUAGAUAUUUGGUCACUUUUUAUGCAGGAUUGAUCUUCAGUAAAAGUCUGCGGUCAUUAGAGAUUGAUCUUCCUUCGGCAAGCAAGUUCAAUGUGGAAGCAAUUUGUGUAUCUGAUCUCCAAGGAUUUGUUUUUGUUAGGAGAAUUUUUGGUUGUUAAUAGAUUAGUAGUUGUUUUGUUUUUAGAUUCUAUUUACAAGAGUCCCUUUUUGGCGAUUAAGUUACUGAUUGUAGAUAUUUGGUUGCUUUUGUAUCUAUCUUUUAUGGCAUAUCGAAGGGAUGUACAUAUGCACAUGAUGUCGGUUUUAAUUCUCUCCCUCUUGGGGGUUUAAUGGAAGAGUUGGUCCACUUCUUAUAA